rnacentral:rRNA from 1 species
CAGUAGGGAGGAAGGUAGUGUAGUUAACACCUGCACUAUUUGACGUUACCUACAGAAGAAGACACCGGCUAACUCCGUGCCAGCAGCCGCGGUAAUACGGGAGGGUGCGAGCGUUAAUCGGAAUUACUGGGACGUAAAGCGCAUGCAGGCGGCCUGUUAAGUCAGAUGUAGAAAGGCCCGGGGACUUAACCCGUACGGUAAGUUGCUAUUUAGUAAACGUGGCGAGGCUAGAGUCUUGUAGAGGGGGGUAGGAAUUUCAGGUGUAGCGGUGAAAUGCGUAGAGAUCUGAAGGAAUACCAGUGGCGAAGGCGGCCCCCUGGACAAAGACUGACGCUCAGAUGCGAAAGCGUGGGGAGCAAACAGGAUUAGAUACCCUGGUAG